UACAGAGGUGGCAAGCGUUGUUCGGAAUUACUGGGCGUAAAGGGCUCGUAGGCGGUCCAUCGCGUCGGGAGUGAAAAGCUGGGGCUUAACCCCAGUCCUGCUUCCGAUACGGGUGGACUAGAGGUAGGUAGGGGAGAACGGAAUUCCUGGUGUAGCGGUGAAAUGCGCAGAUAUCAGGAGGAACACCGGUGGCGAAGGCGGUUCUCUGGGCCUUACCUGACGCUGAGGAGCGAAAGCAUGGGGAGCAAACAGG
rnacentral:rRNA from 1 species